GAAAAACCGGGAGAAGUCGGCGCUCCGAGCCCAGACCUUCGCAGAGACGAAACCCCUCACGCCGACGCGGAGGGCGAGGAACGCUUUCUGGGUUCUGGUUUUAUAAUCACUUCUGUUUAUAGUAGGAAAGAAAUAGCCCCCUUCUUGAAUUCAGCAAUGUAGUCUUUUCUUAAUGGUUCCCCUCCUUACACAAACACUAUAGGGCCUAGUCCUUCAAUAGGUUAUUAUUGCACAGCUAAUGUGAAAUACAGACCAACGCUGUCAGUUGAAUGGGGUGACUGUCACCAGGGUAAGAGUGCCAUUCAGGCAGAGGAAGUGACAACUGCAAACGGUGGCCACCAGAGUCAAAACAGUGGAUGGAAUGGGUGGGGAGCAUAAUGGCUCCUGAAAGUUCACGAGAGGGUAUGAAGGACUUGCCAGGUAUUUUGGGGCCACUGGUUUCUGGAGCACUGAUUUAAGUCCCUGAGGUCCUAAGAAAAUGAGGAGGAGGAAAGAUGUUGGAUCUCAGGGUAGUCUUUAGCUGUUGUCUCUCUCACACACACAGACACACACAGACACACACACACACACAGACACACAGCAGUACGACUUAUUUCCUGAGCUCAAAUUAUAUAAAACACCAGAACUACACCAGGGAAAGAAGAAUUCCAAGUGUCCCCCAAAACUGUCUGAAAGAAAGUGGCUUUUGGUUGGUUGGUUGUUUAAUCAGGGAUCCUAGUGGGUUGUCUGACCCUGGGACUUUCAGCCUUUUCUCAGAAAUCCCUGUGGAGAAAGGGACCCACGAAGCACGUAAAUCAAUGCACAGAUUCUGAACACACUGGCUUAAACGGGGGUUCACCGCGCCCUCCCUGCCUUGGCUCAGCAGCAGAGCAGAGGCUGCCCUUGGUUUCCUUCUUCCUCAGUCCCUGCCUGGCACUGGGGAUGUUGUGUGGCCCCUGGCCCGGUGGCCCUGCCGUGGGAGGGCCCGUUUUCCCGUCUAGGGGCAGCACGCUGAGCUGGGUCUCUCUGCGCCCAGCGGAGGCCUGUGCAAUGUACAAGAUGCCGAGCGGCUAGACCUUAGCUACCUUACCUACACUCCCAGGGGAAAAUGUCUUUUGUCUUUCUGCAGUGAAAGAGGGAUUAUGAGAAAUGUCCCCCCUCGCCUUACCCCACAAGGGCGACAUGAAAAUGGAAAAGUUAAUGUUUUUGAUGGGCGCUGUCGUACGCAGGUGGCAGACAAAGCAACACGAUGUCUACUGUUACGGUUCCUGCCAUGUCCCAGGGUGCUACUGCUGUCUCCUUCUCACAUCACAGGGGUAAGAAUGGUCUCCUGUGGAAAAGCCAAUGGUGCAGACUGCAGAUGAGAAAAUUCGUGGGGCCACACAAGACAAAUUUCAAAUUAGUUUCCUUGGGCGCUGGUCAUGCUUCAUUCCUACAUGAGGAAAAUCUGUGAAUUCAGCUACCUUGAAAAUAAUGGAAUGGGCAUGGAAGGGCUGGGACAGACCUAAAUAUUUUAAUUAAUAUUUCAAGAAAUGCAAAACGUAGCUAGCUCAUGAAUAUUUGAUUUAUGUAGCCCUGUGCUAUGGUAGCCACGGGCUGCAUGUGGCUAGUAAAACAUCUGAAAUGCGGCUCGUCUGAGUCAAGAUGUGCUGUAAGUGCAGAACAUACACUGGGUUUGAAGACAGAAUUUGAGAAAGACUGUAAAAUACCUUAUCAAUACUUCUUCCAUCUGAUUUAAUGUUGCAAUAAUAUUUUGCCCGUGUUCAUUUGAACAUUUCACUAAAAUUAAUUGUAUGUGAUUUCUUUUUUAAAGUGGUAUUUGAAGGUGGCAGCUCCCCUGCAGUGCUUUUGAGAAAACUAAAAAUGUCAUAUCUGGCCACAUUUGUGGCUUGCAUUAUAUUUCUACUGGACAGCCCUGGUAUAGGCUUUGUUAACAGACAGUGUGCGAACUGCUGUCUGGAAUUCAGUAUUUCCUGCCCAAUCUACAGUGUCAGGGACGGGAGAGACCUGAAAGGACUGGUGUUAUAAUAUUGCCGGGAAUGACCGUGAAACGCUUUAAACGGAUGAGACAAGUAACAGCAUGUCCUGUGUAAUGCACUAUUGUGGUCAUCCACCUUUCACUGCUUUUAAGUUUCUUUGUAAUUCUGAAUUUGUAGACCACUGAUAAUAGUGAAAAUGAUUCCUACCUGUAAAAAAGCAAAGUAAUUGGGUCUGGUAUAAUGUACCAGAUCAUUGCCAUAUGGAUAGAGCCUUUUGCAGUUCUGUGUAAAUUCAUCUCAGCAUUCCUUAUAAUCCAUGUAUGUGUGGUUUCCCGAAUUCUUUGACCCUGUGGUAACACCCGACUUGUUGGCUAAUUAAUGAGUUAAUAAAAUCUUAGACACGAGUUCAUUGUAGAUUUGCAGGAGAGUUGUAAUUUAUCUUUUUAAACAAUACUAGAGGGUUUAGGAGUUCACAGUGGUUAAGAUGAACCCUUCCCUGUCCUUCCCGCCUCCUUCAAUCCCCAGCCACGCCUGGGAUUGAAGCAGUAGAAGCAGAAGGUCCCAGCAGUAGAAGUACUUCUGAAAACCCGAGAUGGGGUCUGGAGUGCAUUUUUCUAUAGAAAGUAUUUUCCCUGAGGUUCGAUUGCCACUUAAACACUACUCACAUAUGCAGCAAGCUGACCUGUGGAUUGUUUUGAAUUUUGUGAGCCAGCCAGGGAAUCUACCCAGUGGAACAUUUGAUUCUCAGAGAUGUGCUGAGUUCCAAGUAACAGAAGAGAAACCUAGGAUGUAACUCAUUCGUAAGGCGUACGCUGCGGAUAUUGAUCAAGCAACCAUAACGGCCUCAAGUUUAAUGGCAAAAAACAUACUUGAAAAAAAGUGGGUUGUUGCAGACUUUUUUGCCCACCCUCCCUUUUUUCUUUCUUUACUUAAAUAAACAUUUUAAAAAUAGUUCUGUUUUUAUUUUACCUUUGUCAUUUUCCCCAAAGGAAGGGCCUUUCUUCAAAGCACUGUGUGACCAGAUGGGGCAGGCGCAUCAGUAUUUAUUUCAUAUUUCCACUUACUCCUGUGAAUAGAAUGAAUUUUAAUAAAUAUGAGAAAAUAAAAAUACAAAAUAAGUAAUUUCAUGCACACUCCUUUUUUUGAAAACUUGCAAAUACAGCACUUAAGAUCUAUAUGCUUUGCUUUUCUUUAUUCUUUUUUUAAAAAGAAGUUAGCUUUUAUUAGCAGAAAGAUCAUUAAAUUUUGUGAGUAUUGGCCUCUAGCAUUUAAGUUUUUACAGAACAUGUGAAAGUUUACUAGUCUUUCACCAGCAGAGACGUAUGAUUUUUAUAUAUCUGUAAUUCUGAAAAUGAAACAUUCACUCUACAAAUGCACAACAGUCCACUUAUAAAUUUUAUGUUUUGUGGUCUAUUUUCUUAUAUAAAGCAGCCACUUUGGAGACUAGAUUUAAAGUACAGUAUACAAUAUUCUUAGCUAUAUAAUCUGCCUGUAUAUAAUUAUUUUCUUUUUUGAUUCUUUAGGACAUAACACGAGGGGGCUUUGUGGCAUAAAGUCCUUGACCUAGGUAUUUUAAUAUUAUAAUUCACUUGGUGAUGUUAUUGAGGAAACCAAAAUAUGCCUUUUUAUAAUUUUCAACUGUUUGAAAUUAAUUUUGAAGUUUAACUUGACUAUAAGAUGCUUUUGAUUUUUUAUAUUAAGAAACUGUUUUGAGAAUUGUUAACAAAGAAGAGUAUGAAUUUAUGCAAAUAUUUGUUUCUGAUUAAGAUAACAUCUUUUUUUAAAAAGUGAAUUUAAUGAAAUAAAAGCUUUU
ensembl:lncRNA